rnacentral:lncRNA from 1 species
UGUAGAUGACGAGCAAUCAGAUUUCAAAAGUAGGAUAUGUAUAGCAUGUGAGACUGUCAUCGUGAAAUGGGUCACGUGUUCCAUAUGUAAAUGCCAUUUUUUUGCUGAAGACGGUGGUCAUACAAUGAGAGUGAGAGUGAGUUUUGAUUUUUAUUCCGUGUUCCCCAUCUAGAGGCUUACUCAAACAUUAUUCCAAAGUGCAGGGUGGCCGCAACCAUAUUGGAGUGCGAAGGUGUAGUCUAUGCUUAUGUUGCCGCAAUAUGAACGAUAUGUGUUGGGGUGGCACCAACUUAGAGGGAUUGUAUAUGCUGCCCAGAGAAACCACACUCCAUUUCAGAAGAAAUAUUGUUUGUUGAACUAAGAUAAAGCAACAAUGGAGGAGCAUACGGGACAAAGGUCAUGAAGAAUGUGUUGCCGGAAAAAAAGCGGACGGAGUCGUUGGGAGUGGAGACGAAGGAGGUGAAGGUGGAAGUUGCCAUGGAG